rnacentral:miRNA from 1 species
GAGUAAAGAUGAGAUUGAGAAAGAGGAUGGAUGGGAGGGGGAGGUAACAAAAGUGAAAAUAAUUUUAAAUAGAUUUCAAUUUUUAGUUUUUGUUUCCACUUUUGUUACUCAUUCCCAUCCUCCCCUCUCAUCUUUUCUCUCAAUUC